rnacentral:rRNA from 1 species
CCUACGGGAGGCAGCAGUGGGGAAUCUUGCGCAAUGGGCGAAAGCCUGACGCAGCGACGCCGCGUGGGGGAAGAAGGCCUUAGGGUUGUAAACCUCUUUCAGGUGGGACGAAGCCACUCGGGUUAAUAGCCCAGAGGGUGACGGUACCGCCAGAAGAAGCCCCGGCUAACUACGUGCCAGCAGCCGCGGUAAUACGUAGGGGGCAAGCGUUGUCCGGAUUUAUUGGGCGUAAAGAGCGUGUAGGCGGCUAGGUAGGUGGGUUGUGAAAACUGGAGGCUCAACCUUCAGACGUCGACCCAAACCCCCGUGGCUAGAGUCCGGAAGAGGAGAGUGGAAUUCCUGGUGUAGCGGUGAAAUGCGCAGAUAUCAGGAAGAACACCCGUGGCGAAGGCGGCUCUCUGGGACGGUACUGACGCUGAGACGCGAAAGCGUGGGGAGCGAACAGGAUUAGAUACCCUGGUAGUCCACGCCGUAAACGAUGGUGNUAGUGUGGGGUGGUCGACGUCCCCGUCGCGACGCUACGCAUAGCACCCGCCGUCGGGAGGUACGGCCGCGACGACGUAACUACAAUAGAGUAGACGGCGUGAGACGUGCCGACGGACGACGACGACGGGAGGUAGG